UGGGUCCCUAGUAAAAAUGCCACAAAUAAAUACGCAUCUCACAUUACCGAAAACUAUUAAUUCUCUUUCUAUUUACAAUAGUGAAUAUUAAAAUAAGUUUAAGCACGUGAUAUUCUUCUCUUUAGACUAAACGCUUCAUGAUGCCUUAUGUUCACACUGAACGUUUUACUAUUGGUCAUAUUUCAUUGCCACAUAUUUAAUAUGCUCCAAUUGUAAAUGAAGGACAUAUGUAUAAAAACGCUUUAUCAUUUACUUAAUAUGUCCAUCUAACGUUCCUUUCCCAUAAAAACCACGUCUUCCUAAAAUUUCGCAAUUAAUUUGUUCAAAACUUUUUCUUUUUUUUCUUUUCUAAUAUUCACUUUUAUAAAUCUACUAACUAAUUCUAUCUAUACAGAAAUAGCCAAAUAAUUAAAACAAACUGAUUUUUCUUACCCUUUUCUUGGGGCUGUCUUAUAAUAUAAAGAAACGUCCUCAAUAAAAAGCACUGACACAGAAAAUAACCACAACUAGAACUCAAUGACGCUUAAAACACGAUGUUGACAGGUCAGUCUCGAGAUUUGGAAAGAACUUUCCUACUAAAACUUGUCAAAAGCAUGUCCUUAAGUCCUACGCCGGUAACGUUCUUACGUCGUUACGACUAUACAACCCUGCAUUCGUUGCACAGGUGGCAAUUCCUGUUGUACGUCCUACGCUCUUAUAAAGGUUGUGCCACAUAAAAUCAUUAUUGUGAAUGGCAAACAAAAUAGAAAAUUUAAAAAGAAGAAGACAAAGAACGACACCACAACAGCCGCCAAAUAAAUAAAAACAAAAGAAGUUUUAUUAUUUAAAGUGGUCAUCACAAAGCCUGCUAUUUUUACGUAGCCUGCGAAGUAAAAAUUGUUGGGAAAGUCUUGUCUUGUCUUGGCCUUCAUUUGUCAUUGUUGCAACCAAUGCAAAUGCCCAAGGAAUCAAAAGAAAAUGCCAACGCAAAAUCCUACUGUACACAAACAAAUGAAAAAUUUGGCCAAUUUAAAUCUGGAAAUAUCUCAAACACAUGCAUCUGCAAGAAGCUUAUCGAAUGGUCAAGAAAUCAAAUGUGAACGGAAAUCGUAAAAGCCCAUUGCCAAAAUGUUAGUGUUCGUUGUCAAUGUAUCCAUGCCUGUACAUUGCCUGUUGUCGAUUUCGUUGAUGUCCUUAUGCCGUAAAUCCCUUGUCGGCAAUAAUAUAUGUGCACAAAUAACGACAAAAACAAAUGGAUGUCCGUAUACCGCCUGUUGGUAAUGAAGUGUGUAUACAACAAAAGUCUGUAGACGUUAAACCUUGUAUGCAAACUGGAUAUAAGAAUGAAAAUGCGACAUGUCCUGUAGCAAAUGCCUUAUAUGAUGCCUGCAAUCACAAACAUCAAAUGCAAAUGGACAUUGGAAAGUCCACAAUUAGUCAAAUGCCAGCAAUCCGUUUGUGCCCUAUCGUAUGCGACUGAUGUCUAUUUCCUGUCUAUCAGCCUAUUUCGUAGUGCCUUAUAUGAAGAUGUGUAUGGCAGGUAUAAAAUAUGUUGUAUGGGCGAUAACCAGCUGCAAUGCACAACAAAAAAAAGCAAACCUAUGUCUGUCCGUCCGAACUAACCACACAAUCAAGUAUCAAAAGGAACUCUUUCUACAUGCGUGGACCUCUGAAUGGCGAAGAUAAGUACACAUUUCAAAUUCAAUUAUUACAAUCUUCUAAUUCGUUUCUUCUCUUUACAGGUAAUUCUUUUCUCAUACAUUUUCUAAUUUAUUUCUUUCCUUUCUAAAUUCCAGGUCAAUAAUGGAAAAACAUCAAUACAAAAGCCAUCAAAUAAGCUGCUAUGAUCUGACAUCUAUAAUAUAAAUGCAACAUAAUAGUGGCCAGCGCCAUUGAUAAGGACAAUAUACAUAGGUAUGAUGGCUGAAAUCUUGUAACGGAUCAAGUGAUGGUGGAGAAUGGUGUAUAGCUUUAAGAAUUACUUUUAGUUUAACAAUUUCAAAUUAAAUUUAAAAAAAAAAAU